GGAUGUGAGGGCGAUCUGGCUGUGACAUCUGUCACCCCAUUGAUGGCCAGGGUUGAUUCGGCUGAUCUGGUUGGCUAGGCAAGUGUCCCCUACCUCCCUCAUUGCUCCAUGUGCAUCCCUCCCAAAGCUGCACGCUCAGUCGCAGAGGACAACCUUCCCUGAAUAGAGGAGGACCGGUCUUAGGUCAAGGGUAUAGAGUAGCUCCACUUCCCUGCUAGAAACUCCAAACAAGCUCUCAAAAUAAACAGUGCUAUCUUAGAACACCCUCUACUUAGUCUGCUCUGGACUCUGUGCUAUGGAGCACCCUAGCUGUC
ensembl:misc_RNA 7SK 7SK RNA